rnacentral:lncRNA from 1 species
UUUUUUUUUUUUAUGUGUUUGUGGGAGAAGGUGAGUGCCACAUCUUACUUCUCCACCAUCCUCAAAUGCUGGAGAGAGCAUAGACAAAAGGAAACCCUCCUACACUGUUGGUGGGAAGUAAACUGGUACAACCACUAUGGAAAACAGUAUGGAGGUUCCUCAGAAAACUAAAUAUAGAACUACCAUAUGAUCCAGCAAUCCCUCUCUUGGACAUAUAUCUGGACAAACUUUCCUUGAAAAAGACACAUGCAUCCGUAUGUUCACUGCAGCACUAUUCACAGUAGCCCAGACAUGGAAACAACCUGUCCAUCAACAGAUGAAUGGAUUAAGAAGAUAUGGUACAUACACACAAUGGAAUACUAUUCAGCCAUAAAAAAGAACAAAAUAAUGCCAUUUGCAGCAACAUAGAUGGAAGGAGAGACUCUCACACCAAGUGAAGUCAGAAAGAGAAAGACAAAUACCAUAUCAUACCACUUAAAUCUGGAAUCUAAUAUAUGGCACAAAUGAACGUAUCUACAGAAAGGAAACAAACUCAUGGACCUGGAGAAUAGGUUUGUGAUUGCCAAAGGGGAGGGGGAGAGAGUGGGAUGGACUGGGAAUUUGGAGUUAGUAGAUGCAAACUAUUGCAUUUGGAGUGGAUAAACAAUGAGAUCCUGCUGUAUAGCAUAGGGAACUCUAUCUAGUCACUUGUGAGGAAACAUGAUGGAGGAUAAUGUGAGAAAAAGAAUGUAUAUAUAUGUAUGACUGAGUCACUUUGCUGUACAGCAGAAAUUGACAGGACAUUGGAAGUCAACUAUAAUCAAAAAGAUAAAAAUCUUAAAAAAAAAUCAGCAACCUCAAGGUUCAAAUAUGGUUAAGAGUGAGAUAACUACAUAACCAUUGUGGUCAUGUGCUACACACAACAGGUGUUCAUUCAACCAUGGUUUCCUCCCUUUCAGUCUAUUACAUCCUGAGCCCUGAAUCACACUGCUAUCUUAGGCAUGGCUCAGCUCCAACUCUGCAGGGAGAACCUCCGGAGAUGGACAGCACCUCCUCUGGCCACAAGUAUGUGUAUGGCUUUGAGAAAUUCAACGGGCAUUCGAAUACUCCCAAUGGUUAGCUGGUAAAGCAACCCAUUUUAAUUCGCUGUGGCCAUUGUGGACAGGCAUGAUAAAAAAUGUCUAUUUUCAGAGUUCCCAUGGUGGCGCAGUAAUUAAUGAAUCCGACUAGGAACCAUGAGGUUGCGGGUUCGAUCCCUGCCCUUGCUCAGUGGGUUAAGGAUCCGGCGUUGCCGUGAGCUAUGGUGUAGGUUGCAGACGUGGCUCAGAUCCCGCGUUGCUGUGGCUCUGGCAUAGGCCGGUGGCUAGAGCUCUGAUUAAACCCCUAGCCUAGGAACCUCCAUAUGCCGCAGGAACGGCCCUAAAAAAGACAAAAAAAAAAGAAAAAAGUCUACUUUCAGAUAAUUCCCCAGAAGGGGUGAUCUGAAGCCAGCAUUGAGGUAAAUAUGGAUGCCAGGUGGUCCCCACACUGGAAAAGAGUCUUUGGGGACACCUGAGCCAGAGCACCCAAGGCCCAUGCCUCUCAGGCCAGGGAGGCACCACUCAGUAGUUGAUGGGCUUCUCAGGCAGAGUCCCAAAAAGAGGCUAUCACAGAGUUCACUGAACCAUUUAAUAAAUUCAUUCCACAAUUAUUUUCUUUCAACACACACACACACACACACACACACACACACACACAAUCAUGUUAAGUGAUGCAUGUGUUAACUAGCUUGAUUCUGGUGAUCAUUUCACAGGCAUAUGUAUAUCAAAACAUCAAGAAGUACAGCUUAAAUUUUACAAUUUUCAUUUGUCAAGCAUUCUUCAAUCAAGCUAAAAAAAAUAUUUUCUGAACACCUACUUGUUCCAACCACUAUUCUAGGCACCAGAGGUACAUACAGCCUUGAACAAAACAGGCACUAUUCUGUGUCAUCAUGGAUGUUAAAUUCUAGUGGGAGACAAAAAAUUAAAGCUGGAGUUCCCACCAUGGCGCAGCGGAAACAAAUCUGACUAGGAACCAUGAGGUUGAGGGUUCGAUCCCUGGCUUUGCUCAUGGGUUAAGGAGCCAGCAUUGCCUUGAGCUGUGGUGUAGGUCACAGACAUGGCUCAGAUCUGGUAUUGCUGUGGCUGAGGUGUAGGCUGGAAUGUUUUCCUUCAGAUAUUAUGGCUUACUGCUCCCUCACUUUCUUCAGGCAGGUCUCUGUUCAGCUGUCACCCUUUCAAAGCAGCCUUUCUUGACCCUCUCCCGCAACACAAUCUAAUUCCUUAAUUCUCCUUUCUGUUUGUUUAGAAUUCUCAAUUCAACCCAGACAUACUAUAAUUUUAAUUUUUUUUUUUUUUUUUUAGGGCUGCACCUUCAGCAUAUUAACAUUUAUUUCCAGGCUAAGGGUUGAAUUGGAGCUACAGCUGCUGGCCUAUGCCACAGCCACAGCAAUGCAAGAUCUGAACUGCGCCUUCGACUUAUACUACAGCUCAAAGCAAUGCGAGAUAUUCAACCCACUGAAAAAGGCCAGGGAUUGAACCCGCAUCCUCAUGGAUACUAGUUGGGUUUGUUAUUGCUGAGCCACAAUGGGAACUCUGAUCCAGUAGAUUUUAAAAGUUCCCUGGAAAUGUAUCUGAUGCUAGGUAGACCUAGGCAUCACCAGCUGCUUGUACUGGAGAGACCAAAAGACAAAUUGAAUUUGGUCUCCCGAGCCCCAGCCUGGACAUACAAGUGUGGAAGGUGCAUCCCUGCAGAACUGCAGGGAAGAAGCCAUGUGACUUUGUCUAUGUGCCACGGAGGUGGAGAUGCUGUCACCUGGCCAGGAGGGGCCUCUCCCAGCAGAACUCACCGCUACUCCCACCUCUCCUCAAACCCCACUCCCAUCCCCUCCCUCGCCUCUCAAGAGUAAAGAGCUCCUGGCUUUAUAAGGUGGAAGCAAAACUCCUUCUCAAGGAAGCCCCCAUGAGGCACCUGGGGACCUGGGUCCAAGUUCAGCUUCUGCCCUCACUGUAUGACUUCAGGUAAGCCAUUUGCGUCUGGGUCUCAGUUCCAUGUGUGUAAAUGAGAUUCAUAAUACAUAAGCUGGGGGGUUCUUGCAAAAUUUAAAUGAAUUAAUAUAUGCAUCAUGCCAUGCAAAAGCUGGCUUAGAAUCACAAUACACCAGCCAGUUGUGUGACCUUGGACUUAAUGGGCUCCCUGGGCCUCAGUGUUCUCAUCUAUGAAAUGAGGGGAAUGACAGCUUUUAGUGCUACUAUGAGGACCAAAGCAAAUAAUCUAUGAAGUGCCAGUCAUAGAAAAGCACCUCGGAGUUCCCGUCGUGGCGCAGUGGUUAACGAAUCCGACUAGGAACCAUGAGGUUGUGGGUUCGGUCCCUGCCCUUGCUCAGUGGGUUAACCAUCUGGCGUUGCCGUGAGCUGUGGUGUAGGUUGCAGACGCGGCUCGGAUCCCGCGUUGCUGUGGCUCUAGCGUAGGCCGGUGGCUACAGCUCCGAUUCAACCCCUAGCCUGGGAACCUCCAUAUGCCGCGGGAGCGGCCCAAGAAAUAGCAACAACAACAAAGACAAAAAAGAAAAAAAAGAAAAGCACCUCAAUGGCUGUGAAAUCCCCUCCAGGCCUCUAUGUGACAUCUGAUCUGAAUCCUCCUCUAUGUCAUCAUCUCGCUCACCUUUCCCACCUGCCAGCCACGGGAGGAAGGAGAGGCAUCAAGAAGACCCUUGGCUCACACUCUCCCUUCCUGACACAUUCCCAUCAGGCUCAGUACCAGGAGCCCACUCCUGCAGGCUUGAAGUUCCCGGCAAUUUCACUUUUUUUUUUUUCUUUUUAGGGCCACACCCGUGGCAUACGGAGAUUCCCAGGCCAGGGGUCAAAUCAGAGCUACACCUGCCAGCCUACACCACAGCCAUGACAGACCCCAAGCCACGUCUGUAACCUAUACCACAGCUCACGGCAACACCGGAUCCUUAACCCACUGAUCGAACCCACAACCUCAUGGUUCCUAGUCGGACUCAUUUCCACUGUGCCACAAUGGGAACUCCCUCCCAGAAAUUUUAAGUGUCCUCAGACUCCAAUUCACCUGAAACAGCCAGCACCUGUGGUCACUCACGGCAGCUUCUGCUCUCCCAGUUCUGGGACCUCCCAGGGCUGUUCAAAUGAAAGGCCAGUGGGCACACAGUAGGUGCUCAAGAAGUGGCAGUCAUGUGAUUACAGCAACAAGCCUGAGGCACCCUCCUGAC